rnacentral:rRNA from 1 species
AGAGUUUGAUCAUGGCUCAGAUUGAACGCUGGCGGCAGGCCUAACACAUGCAAGUCGAGCGGAAACGACACUAACAAUCCUUCGGGUGCGUUAAUGGGCGUCGAGCGGCGGACGGGUGAGUAAUGCCUAGGAAAUUGCCUUGAUGUGGGGGAUAACCAUUGGAAACGAUGGCUAAUACCGCAUAAUGCCUACGGGCCAAAGAGGGGGACCUUCGGGCCUCUCGCGUCAAGAUAUGCCUAGGUGGGAUUAGCUAGUUGGUGAGGUAAUGGCUCACCAAGGCGACGAUCCCUAGCUGGUCUGAGAGGAUGAUCAGCCACACUGGAACUGAGACACGGUCCAGACUCCUACGGGAGGCAGCAGUGGGGAAUAUUGCACAAUGGGCGAAAGCCUGAUGCAGCCAUGCCGCGUGUAUGAAGAAGGCCUUCGGGUUGUAAAGUACUUUCAGUUGUGAGGAAGGGGGUAACGUUAAUAGCGUUAUCUCUUGACGUUAGCAACAGAAGAAGCACCGGCUAACUCCGUGCCAGCAGCCGCGGUAAUACGGAGGGUGCGAGCGUUAAUCGGAAUUACUGGGCGUAAAGCGCAUGCAGGUGGUUCAUUAAGUCAGAUGUGAAAGCCCGGGGCUCAACCUCGGAACUGCAUUUGAAACUGGUGAACUAGAGUGCUGUAGAGGGGGGUAGAAUUUCAGUGUAGCGGUGAAAUGCGUAGAGAUCUGAAGGAAUACCA